rnacentral:rRNA from 1 species
GAAACUGGUGCUAAUACCGGAUACACUUCUUUACUGCGGGGUAAAGGAGGAAAGGUGGCCUCUUCAUGAAAGCUACCGUAUAGGGAUGAGCCUGCGUACCAUUAGCUAGUAGGCGGGGUAACGGCCCACCUAGGCAACGAUGGUUAGCGGGUCUGAGAGGAUGAUCCGCCACACUGGAACUGGAACACGGACCAGACUCCUACGGGAGGCAGCAGUGAGGAAUAUUGCGCAAUGGGGGAAACCCUGACGCAGCGACGCCGCGUGAGUGAGGAAGGUUUUCGGAUCGUAAAGCUCUGUCAGAAGGGAAGAAGUGUUAUAUGUUUAAUACGCAUAUAAUUUGACGGUACCUUCAGAGGAAGCACCGGCUAACUCCGUGCCAGCAGCCGCGGUAAUACGGAGGGUGCAAGCGUUGUUCGGAAUUACUGGGCGUAAAGGGCGCGUAGGCGGCUGGAUAAGUCAGAUGUGAAAGUCCAUGGCUCACCUGUGGAAGUGCAUUUGAAACUGUCCGG